rnacentral:SRP_RNA from 1 species
UCUCGAGUAGCUGGGACUACUCGGGAGGCUGAGGUGGGAGGAUCGCUUGAGUCCAGGAGUUCUGGGCUGCAGUGCGCUAUGCCGAUCGGGUGUCCGCACUAAGUUCGGCAUCAAUAUGGUGACCUCCCGGGAGCGGGGGACCACCAGGUUGCCUAAGGAGGGGUGAACCGGCCCAGGUCGGAAACGGAGCAGGUCAAAACUCCCGUGCUGAUCAGUAGUGGGAUCGCGCCUGUGAAUAGCCACUGCACUCCAGCCUGGGCAAUAUAGUGAGACCCUGUCUCUA